UGGGUUGUAGCUCAGCCGUAGAGCACUCACCUAGCACAUGUGAGGCCCUGGGUUCAAUCCUCAGCAUCCCGU
rnacentral:tRNA from 1 species